rnacentral:rRNA from 1 species
GAUGCGCCAAGGAAAAUCAAAACGAAUUUGUCUCCUUCCUCGGUGCUUUGCAUCGUGUGAGCGAGCGUAUUCAAUAAGUCAUAACGACUCUCGGCAACGGAUAUCUCGGCUCUCGCAUCGAUGAAGAACGUAGCAAAAUGCGAUACGUAGUGUGAAUUGCAGGAUCCCGUGAACCAUCGAGUUUUUGAACGCAAGUUGCGCCCGAAGCCUUUAGGCCGAGGGCACGCCUGCCUGGGCGUCACGCACCGUUGACCCCCCAAACCUCCUCGAGAUGUUUGUGGGGGCGUAAAGUGGCUUCCCGUCGGUCUUUGUCCCGCGGUUGGCCUAAAAUUGAAUCCCUAGCCGCGGUGCGCGCGGCAUUCGGUGGUCAACGAUAGCUUUCGUUACCCCGUCGUGCGCUCCCGCGUUGCAAAGGAUGUCACCGAUGUAACCUGAUGCCUAGCUCUGCGAAGAGCGCAGCUUACAACGCGACCCCUGGUCAGGCGGGGCUACCCGCUGAA